UUGUGUGUGUGUGUUUUUAAAAACGAAUUGUGGCAUGUAUUUUCGUAUACCAGCAAUGUCACCCAUCAACUUAUGUCCAUGAAUUCAUUUAGAGAAAGAAAUGUUGCACCUUAAUUAUUUCAAAUGAACCAAAAUAUUAUGUUUUCUGCUUUCAUGUUUAUUCUGAUUCUAUUGUAUUAUAGAUUACCAAGCCCAUUCUAACUUAGCAAAAUCUAUCAGUAUUUAUGCAUUUAACCAUAUUCUCUAGAUUUGAACCUGUGUAUAUCUUUUUUUUACAAGAUUUUUUUUAAAAAAUAAGAUAAAACAAAUUAUUCUUACCCCCCUCUAUGGUUUCUUAAUGAAAGUGAGGAUAUAUUUCUCAAUGUGUAAAUUUAGCACUAUCCCAUUUUCUUUGUUUUUGUUUAUUUAUUUAGUGACCUUUGAUAUUUCAUGUAGUUUUGAGGUAUAUACAUAGAAGCUGAUACUGCAAGCAUAGAAUCAGCUGGGAGAAGGAUACUGUAAAGUCAUUUUCAUGUAAUUGUGUUAGUACUGUAUUACGGGGGGGGAGUGGGGGAGUUCUGCAAAGUAUUUAACAUGUACAUUUGAUUUUGAUUCUCCUGUUAGGUUGUAUUCCGGAUACAAGACCAAAUUUGAUGUAAAAUCUUGUGGAGCUUAUAUCAUGCUGUUGUACUUAUGACAGUAUUUUUCCCUGGAUUGUACUGUGAUUCCAGAAAUAGGAUAUAUUUAUUUAAGAAGAUAUAGUAUGCUUUUUUACUAAUACAAUAUCCCAAAGUUAUGAGCAAAGGAGUUCUUUCUUUGUCUCGCUGUCCAGAUUACAGUUCAGACAAUGAUUUUCAGAACUGAUUUACAAAGUGUUGUGGAUGUGGUAAAGGCAGCAGAGAUAUACUGGCUUCUGUGACUUGCUACUUUUUUCUAAACAGCUUAAUACGUAGCAUAAAUGUAGCUGCUAUUCACUUGAUAGCUGCUCGCUCCAUAUAUUCACCUGCAAACCCAUACGAGUUGUAUAUUGCGCUGCAGCAAGGGGAACAUACACAGGGUGGAAAAUGCGUAUCAGUUUUUUGAAAAUGGUGCAUCCCAAAGGGUCCAGUCAAUCUUUUAAAAAGAAAAACAUUGUUCUCUCUGCUCAGAGGCUCACAAGAGAAAGAGGUCUGAGAGUUGUCCCUGUCAUGCAACAUGUGCUUGGAAAAAGGAUAGGCUCCAUGAAUUCAACGAAAUGUCAUCUAAAGCCUGCUGUCUUUGCAGGUUUCUGGUUAAGGGCUGGAACUGCACAUGGACUGUCGGGUCUGGGGGGAAUCUACAUGCUUGCAUAGCACAGGUGUUCCUUGUGCAGAGCCCCUUUUGCAGAUUUGGGGAUCCUUAUGUAGUGAAAAUAUAACACAACAUUGUUCCCUGGGAUGAUAAGGAAUGCUGUGGGUUUUCUACUGACUGAAUUUGGAAUGGGCUGUAAAAAUUUUGUUUUCUGAUCCAAUAGUGGCAUCACUGUCCAUUGCACACUGAACCCUUUCAGACAACUGAGUAUCACUGUAUUCUCAGUGAAUGAUUAUCUGUGGGGGUUGAGAAGGGGGGGCCUGGUUGAAGCUACCCUGAGUGUGAAGCAUUAGAAUGGAACAAUUUUUCAAAUGUGCUCUGUGCUUAGGAACCGCAAGAAAAGUUUUUUUGUUUUGUGUGUGUGCUGAAGGGAAUAGCCUGGGAAUUGGGUUAAUCAAAGAGAAAAAAAGAGGGCAUUAUUGCCACAUGAGGGAGUAUAUAUAUUUUCUUAAUCUCUGAAGGAAAAAUGUGGUAAAGACUAUAAUGAUUGUCAGGUUUGCCUUGUACAAUUGUGUAUUUAUGCCUCUCAGCUGCACUCUGUUCUUCAACUAAUUCUAAUAAUGCUACCUCUAUUAAAGGCUACUGCAGUUGACUUCCAUUUGUUUGCAAGAUUCCUCAUGCAGUCUUUUCAAGUUGCACCAGCAAAUAUCAAAACAUAAAUACAUUUCAGUGAGAAGGCAGCUGCAAACUAAGGCAAUAAGAGAGGUCUGUGCUUCUUGGUUGUGGCUAAACCUCAGUGAGAUUGCAGUUUGUUAUUCUUAAAUGUGCUCUAACAUUAUUGAUCGUUGAGCUCCCACAAUGUAUCUGAUUUUAUUUUAUUUUUAUUUUUUUACAAAACACUUGGCUCCUGGAUGUUGCAAGCAAUAGUUUGCAUAGUGAUGCUUUGAUUCAGAAAGGCAAGUGAUGUAAAGUGGAUAUCAGAUGCACUGAACUGUGCUCUUCUGAAUACAGAUGAAUAAGAGCGGUUCACACUGGAUUGUAAAACAUGGGCUGAUAGUCUUUAACCCUGUUCCAAGUAAUUGUUUUCUGAUGAGUAACUUGUCAAGCAAUCAUCAUCCACUUACAGUGGGGAGGGGAGGUGGGGUGGAAUAAGUAUUACCUUUCUGAUUAAGUUAUUUGGAAUACAGUACUAUGUUUUCUUAAUAAAGAUUUUAUCUGCCCUUUUAAAACC